AGGGACUGUAUUCAUAAUGUAGAUGGUAGAUGGUAGACUCUCAGGGACUGUAUUCAUAAUGUAGAUGGUAGAUUAUCAGGGACUGUAUUCAUAAUGUAGAUGGUAGAUGGUAGACUCUCAGGGACUGUAUUCAUAAUGUAGAUGGUAGAUGGUAGACUACCAGGGACUGUAUUCAUAAUGUAGAUGGUAGAUGGUAGACUAUCAGGGACUGUAUUCAUAAUGUAGAUGGUAGAUGGUAGACUACCAGGGACUGUAUUCAUAACGUCCCUCCCAUCAUCUUCAACAACAGACAGACUAACCUCUUAUCAUCUCUGUCCCUCCCACUUCAACAACAGACAGACCUGUUUAUAUAGCGAAUUGCUGACAUGGCUUCUGACUGAGGAGAGCAUAUAGGGGGCGUCCCAAUAAUAUCUCCUUUCUUCUGAAGUGUGCACUCGUUCACUGCUUCUCACAAAACCAAAAUCCUUGAAUCAAGAGUUCCUCCCUCUACCUGUCUCGCCAUCCCCCAAAUGAAAACCAUGGGAAGUGUGUAUGUAUGGGUGUGUAAACACAAAUGUUUUUAUUCUUAGCAUCAUCAUCGUCGUCGUCGUCGUGACAAACACAUCAAGGUUGUUAGUUAAGGCAUGUGCAUAGCAGUCCGAGAUGUGUUUUAAACCAGAGCAGAAAACACCAGUCAGAGCUGUGUUUUAAACCAGAGCAGAAAACACCAGUCAGAGCUGUGUUUUAAAUCUGAGUAGAAAACACAGAGGGACUACUAUGUACACAGUCAAUUGCAACCCUCUUCUCAUAGAGGUAGAAAGAGAACUCAUCAAACCAGGUUAUAUCCAUCUAGAGCCCUCUUUCUACCUCUAUGCUCUUUCUCUAAUAAUGGUCCAUGGGGCCAGCCCUGUUCUAGAAUCCCCCCAUUCUAGAAUCACCAUCUGUUCUAGAAUCAACAUAUAUUCUAGAAUCACCAUCUGUUCUAGAAUCAACAUAUAUUCUAGAAACAACAUAUAUUCUAGAAACAACAUAUAUUCUAGAAUCAACAUAUAUUCUAGAAUCAACAUAUAUUCUAGAAACAACAUAUAUUCUAGAAUCAACAUAUAUUCUAGAAUCAACAUAUAUUCUAGAAACAACAUAUAUUCUAGAAUCAACAUAUAUUCUAGAAUCAACAUAUAUUCUAGAAACAACAUAUAUUCUAGAAUCUACAUAUAUUCCAGAAUCAACAUAUAUUCUAGAAUCAACAUAUAUUCUAGAAUCAACAUAUAUUCUAGAAUCAACAUAUAUUCUAGAAACAACAUAUAUUCUAGAAACAACAUAUAUUCUAGAAACAACAUAUAUUCUAGAAACAACAUAUAUUCUAGAAACAACAUAUAUUCUAGAAACAACAUAUAUUCUAGAUUCCACCCCUGUUCUAGAAUCCACCCCUGUUCUAGAAUCCACCCCUGUUCUAGAAUCCACCCCUGUUCUAGAAUCCACCCCUGUUCUAGAAUCCACCCCUGUUCAAGAAGCACCACUGUUGUCAACUGGGGUUUUGCAGGUACAGGGGGGUUAGUUUGAGGGGACUGAGGGGUGGUAUAUUUGGUUAGUUUGUGGGGACUGAGGGGGGGUUAGUUUGAGGGGACUGAGGGGGUUAUGGUCCGGGCGUGUCAGGCGCUGUGAGCGUCUCCGUCGGAGCUGAAGUAGUACCUAACGGGGGGUCCAGGAAGGUCCUCAUCACCGUCUGACUCAGGAGCGAAGGACACGGUCAGGUCGGAC
rnacentral:lncRNA from 1 species